GAUGAAUCCAGCCCAGCCAUAGGACUUGGGGAGUAGAAUUAGGGCAUCUCUACCAUGGCCUGGACUCCUCUCCUUCUUGGCCUCCUUGCUCACUGCACAGGUUCUGUGGCCUCCUAUGUGCUGACUCAGCCCCCAUCUGUGUCAUUGGCUCUGGGACAGACAGCCCAGGUCACCUGUGGGGGAAACAACAUUGGAAAUAAAUAUGUUUCCUGGUACCAGCAGAGGCCAG